GUGAAACCUGCUAAAUCCAAUGAUCCCAUUGAUAUCUUGAACAUUAAGUUGAAGAGAUUUAAGAAGUUUUUUAAAGGCUGGGGGUCCAGUAUUUUUGGGAAAUCUAGAAAAAAGAGGAGAGAACUAAGAGAGGAACUGGAGUAUCUAGAGAAACUAGAAGAAGCAGAUGUGCUAUCUCCUGAAUUGUAUUGUAGGGAAGUUGAAAUUUUGGUGGAGCUUUAUAAUCUCCCGGUUGAAGAGGAAAUUGCUUGGUUGCAAAAGUCUCAUGAAAGUUGGUUGUUGAAAGGGGAUAGAAACACUGACUAUUUUCAUAGAAUAGUGAAUGGGAGGAGACAGAGGAACACCAUAUUCUCUCUUAGUUGUGGUGAUGCGGUGAUAGAGGGGACCAAAUAUUUAUUGAAACAUGCUAUCGAAUUCUACAAAGACCUUUUUGGGCCUGCAACCGGGAAUCUUUGUAAGUAG
rnacentral:rRNA from 1 species